GCCGUGUGAUGAAAUUCAGUCUGAAUAAGUCAAGUAUGAGACUUAAAUUAAAGAAAUGAUAAGCAAAGAACUUUAAAUGUACAAAAGUAAGCAGUCGAGAGUGUUACUACUGUAAACAAACAAAAUAACAUGGCUGCUUCCAGGAGAUUCACGAACUUUACCAAACAGAGACAUUUCACCUUUUUAAAGUCUUCAGUUUUUUAUUCUACAAAUGUAACCACUCGACCUAGU